UCGAACUCGGCGAGAUGUCUAUUCGGAGA
rnacentral:sRNA from 1 species